ACCUGUCCCUGUUAGCAAAACUUACCGUAUCAUUUAAUCGUUGGUUGCUUUCUACUUAUUUUCCAUUGGACCUUAAUUUGCGUUGUUUUCUACUUAUUAUUCACAAUUGGGCCUUUAUGUUUUAUUUUAGGUUUCUAAAUAUAUAAUUUGCAUUUUGAGUGUUGGGCUGGUAACAUGAAAUUAAAGUUACUCACGAUUGUCGAGCUAUUUCUUCAACCAUGGUGAUCUUCAGAUUUCUAGGGUUCCUCUCAUCGUCUUUUUCUUUCUGUAAUUAGGUGGACUGACAAUGGAAUUUCUAGACGUCUUGAGGAAUCUCUUUAGCUAGCUCCGUUCGUGUCGUUUUGUCUCGGAUUCUUCUCCUUAGGACCGUUACAGGAUUCAUUGAUUCAACGCCAUUGAAGACCUUCUUUAUUCCUUAGCCCCACUCCAAUCAUAAUUACUCAUUAAAUGCAUUUUACCUCUCUUCGAGGCGGUGGCGAUCCAGUUAUAAAAAGAAUGGCAAACUCAUCGAUUCUCCUCGCUGAGGCUGGCUGGCCGAUGCUCUUUAAAGCAUUUGCCUGCUGAGAUCGAGAUCUAUUACUACUUCGGCUUUCUUUUCCGGACUGAUUAGAAAAAGUAAGAGGUUACUUCUUUAUUUCAGUGGGGUUUCGUUGAGAUAAUUUGUUAUUAAUCUUGAUGUCUUCAUAUUUCCAAAGUGUUUUGCUUUUUCUCCUUUAGGCCAAAUCUUGCUUUUCAGCAUAUAUAGAUUCUUUGAGCUAUGAGAAGCAUGGUGAUCUUGCUGAGAUUAUUGGGUGAGUAAUUCAUUGAUUAUUGAUUUUCAGUCUAUUAUAUCGACUCAACAGUUAAUUAACUGAUCGAUUUUACUUCUAUUUGCAGUACUCAGUCCGUCCUUGGGCCAUUCUGCGACACUGCGUCAUGGUGCGAUGGGCAGAUACGUUUUGUGAUAAUUGUUAUAAACACUAGAAACUCUUGAUUCAGCUUUUGUUUUGGUUAUUGGAGGUGUCAUUUUGUGGGUGCAGGAAAAACUUCUGAAUCUCUUGCUUCGUAACUACCUGCACUACAUCCUUUAUGACCAAGUAGAGAAGUUGAGAUCAAAAGCACCAAGAUUUGAGGCACAUUCUAACCAACAUGUUUAUCUUUUAGUAGUUAUUCUUUCAUACCAAUUCGUUAGUGUAGCUUUCUAGAUUAUAGAUAUAUCGUUUAUAUGAUCUCUUACUUAUGCUAACCUUUCCACAGUCAAUUUUUUCUUCAAAUACGGUGUUUAUAUGUAAGACCAUUGGGUAUGAUUUUUUUCUCUUAUCAGUACUAGCUGUUUUUGUUUCA